AUGUCAAAAAUCCUCAGUCUGGGCAUAGUGGCCGCCACAGACAUCAGUUCUGGAAGGAGGUCAUUGUUCAGAUGGUUGGCAGAGAUGCGCAGUUCCGUGAGGCUGGCCUGCAGUUUGAGCACUCUGAGGAGAGGAGUCAGAGGCAAACUGAGUCCACAGACGUUCACACAGGAGCUGCUGACCUGCACCUCACACAGCCGAGACACACGCCGGUUCUACUCUGAAACACACAUGGAAUCAAGAGACAUUUUGAUUCCAUCAUUAAAAAAGUCAAGGCGGGAAACAGGAAGUCCAGUGCAGACCAUCAUAAUCUACAGGUAAAGAUUGUCUCCUGAUUGAGAUGCUGUUAACAAAAGUCAACAAAAAAUGACAUUCAAAACCAGCUUUGCUUCUGUAAUAUGAUGCAUUUUAAAGUUUAAAAGUGUGCACAAAAAAAAACUGGAUUAGUGUUGUUAGCCUAAAAAGGGACAUUGUAUUAGAAGUGGAGGUUAAUGUGUUUUUUUUUUUCUUUGGAAUAAUUUGUACUGUACAAAUAACUCACAAUAAGACCAGAACUAAAGUCAGUUUGGAUUUCAUGUUGGCUUUCUUUGAACAUUGAUUGAUGUUUUAUGUUGCAGAAAUGUUUUUAUUACAUUCAAAACUCUUUAAAAUUAUUAAUUGAAAGGGUAUACAUUGUAGGCUUGGCAAACACAUGGAAAGAUGAGGGCUGUGCUGUUGAUUACAGACCCUCUCGGGAGGAACUGGAAUCCAUCACACUUCAUAUUGGACUUGUGUGAGGCAGAAAUCAGUGCUUUAGAGGAGGGGUUUAAGGGUAUGUUUAAAAGUGUUGCAAUAUUUUAUUUAAACUAGACUAGAGGAUUUUGCAUAACAAAUGUAAUAGCAGCACUGCUAGACUGCAUUUAUUCAAAAGCACAGAGUCUGAUUUCGAAUCACCAAUUUUCCCUUAAAUUCUGAAUUUUUUCAUCAUUGUCUGACCUGAAAUUACCCCUUUUAGGUGACGUAAGUAAAAUACUUGACUUCCUCCAAGUGACAUGAGCCAUGAGAGCCAGAGUGAUUAAUAUUAUUUCAUAAUAUAUUAAUUUCAUAAUAUUUUAAAUACUUUUUCAGUUCCUGAUUUUAGAAAUGUUGAAGGCCAUCACAUCUGUAUGCUAAAUUACUGAUUUAUGUUAACCCCUUCUUGUAGUCUUUCACCCUGUUGUAUUGAGUCAUGAGCUGAAUGAACAGAUCAUUUCUCCAAAAUGUCAGAACCAUCAAGUGAGCAUCAUUUUUGUCUUUAUAGGUUUUAAAGUGCUCCUCUCUGAUGUUCACUAUGAGAAGUCAUGGAUGGAGUGGACAAGAAAAAAGGACAAUGGUGUGGCAUCUCAGGAAGAGGUUCUUUAACUUCUACAGGCCAUUGCAGAUCCUCAGAUGAAUGAGGAGUUUGAGAACAAGACUGUUAUCCUUCAACAACAUCCAGAUUGGCAGUCCAGGGAGAAACUGAGAUGGUUCAUCAGCACAUCGCUUGUUCAUGCAGAGGUGAGCGUGUUAUUUUGUUGUCGGUUCUGUUAUUAAUCAGUAAUGAUGAAAGUGUAAAAACUAGUAUGACGCACGUUAUGCUCUUCUAUUUCCUGAACUAGAAGUGGGUGAAUGUGUUUGGAAAUGAGAACCUGAAUGUGUUUGCUUUUAAAAAUAAAGGUGUUGAAAGGAUGUUCUGAAGCA
ensembl:lncRNA